GCUCGCUGCAGGUCUACCAUGACAGUCGAGCGGAACGAUGGAAGCUUGCUUCCAGGCGUCGAGCGGCGGACGGGUGAGUAAUGCAUAGGAAUCUGCCCGAUAGUGGGGGAUAACGUGGGGAAACUCACGCUAAUACCGCAUACGUCCUACGGGAGAAAGCAGGGGAUCUUCGGACCUUGCGCUAUCGGAUGAGCCUAUGUCGGAUUAGCUAGUUGGUGAGGUAACGGCUCACCAAGGCGACGAUCCGUAGCUGGUCUGAGAGGAUGAUCAGCCACACUGGGACUGAGACACGGCCCAGACUCCUACGGGAGGCAGCAGUGGGGAAUAUUGGACAAUGGGGGAAACCCUGAUCCAGCCAUGCCGCGUGUGUGAAGAAGGCCUUCGGGUUGUAAAGCACUUUCAGCGAGGAAGAAGGCCUGAGGGCUAAUACCCUUCAGGAAGGACAUCACUCGCAGAAGAAGCACCGGCUAACUCCGUGCCAGCAGCCGCGGUAAUACGGAGGGUGCGAGCGUUAAUCGGAAUUACUGGGCGUAAAGCGCGCGUAGGUGGCUUGAUAAGCCGGUUGUGAAAGCCCCGGGCUCAACCUGGGAACGGCAUCCGGAACUGUCAGGCUAGAGUGCAGGAGAGGAAGGUAGAAUUCCCGGUGUAGCGGUGAAAUGCGUAGAGAUCGGGAGGAAUACCAGUGGCGAAGGCGGCCUUCUGGACUGACACUGACACUGAGGUGCGAAAGCGUGGGUAGCAAACAGGAUUAGAUACCCUGGUAGUCCACGCCGUAACGAUGUCGACUAGCCGUUGGGUUCCUUGAGAACUUUGUGGCGCAGUUAACGCGAUAAGUCGACCGCCUGGGGAGUACGGCCGCAAGGUUAAAACUCAAAUGAAUUGACGGGGGCCCGCACAAGCGGUGGAGCAUGUGGUUUAAUUCGAUGCAACGCGAAGAACCCUUACCUACCCUUGACAUCGUGCGAACUUGGUAGAGAUACCUUUGGUGCCCUUCGGGGAACGCACAGACAGGUGCUGCAUGGCUGUCGUCAGCUCGUGUUGUGAAUGAUGGGUAGUCCCGUAACGAGCGCACUCGUUGUCCUAUUUGCAGCGAUCGGUCGGUACUCUAGGAGACCUGGCGGUGACAAGCGGGAGAAAGGUGGGGAACGAAACGGU
rnacentral:rRNA from 1 species